GACGAACGCUGGCGGCGUGCCUAAUACAUGCAAGUCGACCUUAGUGGCGAACGGGUGAGUACCACUUGGGUAACCUGCCCAUCAGAAGGGGAUAACACUUGGAAACAGGUGCUAAUACCUAAUACUGAUGUCUGGACCCGCGGUGCAGUGGCUAGUUGGUGAGGUAACGGCUCACCAAGGCCACGAUGCAUAGGAGGCCCGAGAGGGUGAUCGGCCACAGUGGGACUGAGACACGGCCCAAAAGCCUACGGGAGGGAGGCGUAGGGAAUCUUCGGCAAUGGACGAAAGUGUUACCGAGCAAAGCCGCGUGAGUGAAGAAGGUUUUCGGAUCGUAAAACUCUGUUGUUAGAGAAGCGGUAUCUAACCAGAAAGCCACGGCUAACUACGUGCCAGCCGCCGCGGUAAUAC
rnacentral:rRNA from 1 species